UACAGAGGGGGCAAGCGUUAUUCGGAAUUAUUGGGCGUAAAGGGCGCGUAGGCGGCUUUGCAAGUGACGGGUGAAAUCCCUCGGCUUAACCGAGGAACUGCCUGUCAGACUGCAUGGCUUGAGACCAGGAGAGGUGAGUGGAAUUCCCAGUGUAGCGGUGAAAUGCGUAGAUAUUGGGAGGAACACCAGUGGCGAAGGCGACAUCCUGGACCGGUAUUGACGCUGAGGCGCGAAAGCCAGGGGAGCAAACGGG
rnacentral:rRNA from 1 species